GAUGAACGCUGGCGGCGUGCUUAACACAUGCAAGUCGAACGAUGAAGCUCAGCUUGCUGGGUGGAUUAGUGGCGAACGGGUGAGUAACACGUGAGUAACCUGCCCUUAACUCUGGGAUAAGCCUGGGAAACUAGGUCUAAUACCGGAUAGGAGCGCCUACCGCAUGGUGGGUGUUGGAAAAAUUUAUCGGUUUUGGAUGGACUCGCGGCCUAUCAGCUUGUUGGUGAGGUAAUGGCUCACCAAGGCGACGACGGGUAGCCGGCCUGAGAGGGUGACCGGCCACACUGGGACUGAGACACGGCCCAGACUCCUACGGGAGGCAGCAGUGGGGAAUAUUGCACAAUGGGCGAAAGCCUGAUGCAGCGACGCCGCGUGAGGGAUGACGGCCUUCGGGUUGUAAACCUCUUUCAGUAGGGAAGAAGCGAAAGUGACGGAACCUGCAGAAGAAGCACCGGCUAACUACGUG
rnacentral:rRNA from 1 species